CGCGUAGCUCAGUUGGAAGAGCAUUGGGCUAGUAUUCCAAAGGUCGUAGGUUUGAAUCCCACCGUG
rnacentral:tRNA from 1 species